rnacentral:rRNA from 1 species
CCUACGGGAGACAGCAGUGGGGAAUAUUGGGCAAUGGGCGCAAGCCUGACCCAGCAACGCCGCGUGAAGGAAGAAGGCUCUCGGGUUGUAAACUUCUUUUCUCAGGGACGAAACAAGUGACGGUACCUGAGGAAUAAGCCACGGCUAACUACGUACCAGCAGCCGCCGUAAUACGUAGGGGGCAAGCGUUAUACGGAUUUACUGGGUGUAAAGGGCGUGUAGGCGGGGACGCAAGUCAGAUGUGAAAACCACGGGCUCAACCUGUGGCCUGCAUUUGAAACUGUGUUUCUUGAGUGCGGGAGAGGCAGGCGGAAUUCCUAGUGUAGCGGUGAAAUGCGUAGAUAUUAGGAGGAACACCAGUGGCGAAGGCGGUCUGCUGGACCGCAACUGACGCUGAGGCGCGAAAGCGUGGGGAGCAAACAGGAUUAGAUACCCCAGUAGUC